rnacentral:rRNA from 1 species
GAUGAACGCUGGCGGCGUGCUUAACACAUGCAAGUCGAGCGAAGCGCUUAAGAAAGAUUCUUCGGAUGAAUUCUUUGGUGACUGAGCGGCGGACGGGUGAGUAACGCGUGGGUAACCUGCCUCAUACAGGGGGAUAACAGUUAGAAAUGACUGCUAAUACCGCAUAAGCGCACAGUGCUGCAUGGCACAGUGUGAAAAACUCCGGUGGUGUGAGAUGGAUCCGCGUCUGAUUAGCUGGUUGGUGAGGUAACGGCCACCAAGGCGACGAUCAGUAGCGACUUGAGAGAGUGACCGGCACAUUGGGACUGAGACAGGCCCAGACUCCUACGGGAGGCAGCAG